CAGCGGGCAGGAUGGGGGUAUGAGGCCGGAGUCGGCGGCUCCCAGGCCCCCAGCCCCGUCAGGGCGCCCCCGUCCCCAGGCGCCAGAGCCGGGGUCCGCAGCCCCCUAGCACUCCCUGGACGGCCGCGGGCCUCCCACAGGCCUCGAAGUCCAGAGACUGAUCCUGCGACCGGAAACGCCCCCCUGCCCAGCAGGCCCAGACCGCGCCCCCCUUUCCUGCCGCCCCCUUCCCGCGGGCCCGGCUGCAGGCCCCGGAUCCCCGGGCUCGCGUGGCCGCCGCAGCCGAAAGGGGCGGCCCGUCGGGCGGCCCCGCUCCCCGGCCCUCGCCGCGGCCCCUCCAACUCCGGGUGCUGCGGGGCCAAGGACAACACAAAAGGAAGGGGGGCCCUGCCAGCGACGCCCCUGCCAGCCCCCGAGACCCCCUGCGCGGGGUCGGCAAAGCAUCUGGACACCCCAGAAGCUCCGGACGCCGAAGAGAGAGGCCCCACGAAAAUUUCAAGACACCUCCUGGGGGCUGCAGGGGCGGCCAAGUCUCCCCAGCGCCAGGUGCCCCCGGCCACACGGUGGCCCGGCGCGCGGCCCCGGCCUGGAAAGGGCUCUCUUCGCCUCUUCCCCAGCCCUGCCCGGCCCGGGCGUCCCCGAACCCUCGCGCGCGGGCGGCUCCGGACGCAGUGUCCCCGGCCUCUGCCCCGCGGGGCUCGGGCCGCGCCAAGCACUCACCUCCGCCGGGCUGCGCUCCCCGCGGGCCUGCGCCGAGCCCGAUAAAUGGUGAGGAUACAGCAAGAAAGCAGCCAUCUAUAAACCAGGAAGGCGGCCCUCACCAACAACCUGACCAUGCUGGGACCCUGGUCGUGGACUUCCAGCCCCCAGAUCAGUGAGAAAUAAAUUUCUACUGCUU
rnacentral:lncRNA from 10 species